CAAAGAUGCUCAAUGGAAUCCAAGCCUUGCCUUCCCCUGAUCUUUUUUUUAAUGCAUUGGCUUAAGUUACGCUGACUGAGUCCUACAUUCAGAGUGUUCUCUUAUAGAAUACCAAAGGCGUCACCCCGCAUGGACUGCUUAUGAGGGAACUGCUGAGCAACAGGCCUCUGAGACAUGCUUUGGAAGAGCAUCCAUCAAUCCCUGUGCUGCCGAAUGAAACUCCCAGAUGCUCUUAAGAGACUUCCAGAUGCUUUCAGUCAUCUAACUUAGAAACGAGGCAGACAAGGAAAUGUUCGACUGGAAUCCUGAGCUGACAGCAACAUCUACAGUUUCACUGGAGUAGCUCUACAUGUGGAGUGCUAGGCACUAGUGGAGGCUCACCCAUUCCUGAGAGGAGGCUGGAGGAGGGGCAUCAGGAUACGGGGCCAGCCUUGCCAGGCCAGCACAUAUCCCAGGGAAAGGACCAGUGGCUGCAGAAGUGAAAAGUUUACAUGAAGGUAUCUGGAUGCCUCAGAAUCUGUUUGGACGUCUGAGACCAAGCCCACACGUGCAAGGAGGGAUGGAGAAAAGAUCUGCAUAAGCAAAGAUGCGAUAUGAAAGUGAAAAAUGGCAGCAGCUCUUUCAUACAGAUACUCGUCCCCUAACACACUGUGCCCAGGGAAACAGCCAUAAGCCUGGAGAGUGCAUGCAAGCAUCAGGUGAACAAACAGGGCUGAGCUACAUGGCAAUCUCACAUAAAUAUGGCAGCACACAUCCACGUAACCACGAAAGAGAGGACAGAAAAACCAUGUUCACCUGCUCCAGAUCGGUAACUGAUCACUUGCUGUAGGCAAACUGUGCUGGUGUGAAAUGCCUGUAUGAAACGUUACUGUUAUCAGGGCUGCUAGACAGCGUCACUUCGGAAGCAGCGAUGUUGUAUCGGUGCAGUAAAAUUACAUCUGCCCACAGGUCGUCCCAGGCGAAUGCACCGCGCUUCUCCAUUGGGCUGUGCAGCCAACGUGCUGCCUUGUGCUGGCACUCCCACCCUGCUUCUGGUCUGGCUGUCCCUGGGCUGGCUCCAGGGACGCGGCUUUAGAACUAGCCAUAGUCUGUGACCUGCCAUACAGGUGUAAGCUUUAUUUCCAAGCAACAUGCUGUGUGGGGGAUAUUCCAGCUAUUUUGUGUCCGUCCCUGCUCAGAACUGCCCCUCGGUUUGCAGUAACAGCUGAGCAAACACUUCUUUUCUAACAGUCUCACUUCCUAAUCCCAACCAGCCGGGUAAGUCCCCUUUCUCCUGAAAUGCCUUUACACUUGAGUCACAAAAAUGGACAAAACUCCAAUCCUGUAACUGUAUGCCCGUCCUUUCCAGAAAACCCACCGCUUCUCUUGUGCUUUUCACUGAUAGCCAAUUCUCCAUCCAGCUCUGAAAGAGUCUCACCACACAUUUCCAAGAGUGCAUGCAGAACAUCUGGUGGCUGGCUAAGGCAAUACACAUUCGGAAAUCAAAAGAGAACAGUUGCAAGCGCACUUUAAGCCUGUACAUUUAAAGCUGAAGGCCUCAAAAAUAACGUAAUGGAGUGGGUGAGUCGGAGGGGCAGAGGAAUGGAAAGAGACGAUUUGUUGAACACAUGCUUACUAAAGCUAAAACAUCAAUGAAACAAUACCGUGGAAGAUUAUACGUAACAUCAGUCAGUUCAGGGAUCUUAUGGCACCUGUGGUUUAUAAACAGCUUUAGUAACGAGUAUUUCAAAACAUAGUUCACAGUUUUAAGAAGAUCUGUGCUGAUUUAAAAACUAGAUUCU
rnacentral:lncRNA from 1 species